UCUUACAAUAGGGGGUUAAACAAAGUGGUAUGGAGUAAUAGAGGACUUGCAUUUUGGUAGAAAUUGAACUCUACCAUUAACCAGUCCAUAUAUUUUCUUACCUUAUAACUUUAUUAAUAUUGAUGUUUUGGGUAUCAUAUUGGCCUUGCUAGAGUAUAAAGUUGAUAAGGUUUUAACUGCUUAAGUUCUAUGUUUGCUUGAACUGUAUUUUGGAGUAGGAAAGAGAAGGCUAUGGAGAGCUUUUCUGCUGUAUGGUCCACCUGGUACUGGGAAGUCAUACUUGGCCAAGGCUGUUGCAACUGAAGCAGACUCUACAUUUUUUUGCCACUGCUUUCCUUUUGUCUGGGAUAAAGGAAAGGUGGUGCUAGUAAAGGUCAAAGUAUGCAUCACUGAAUUGCAUUGGAAAAGAGUUUGAAGAUUACAGAUAUUGUGGUUCUGGGCGUGAGACUUAAAUUCGGUUACAAAAACUCUCUGAUCUGUUAAUCUAUUGCUUUCUGUAGGGCAAGCUUCCUUACCUUCCUUCUGAGUUCCAUGUUUGUUGUUUUUUUUAGCAAAAUUCGCAAUCACUGUGCUUGAAUAGUUAUAUCGUUUUAUGAU